AGGUGGCCUAUUUCUCUCACACAUCAUUAUUUUGAGGCUCACCCAAAGUGGGAUAUUUACCCAUAUACCAUUUGGACCAGCGUGUUUUUUGGAAAGAGGUCCAUUGCUAAUUUAGUCUAAAGUGUUCAACACUAUUGAGCAUUAGAGUGUUUCAACCCAUUGAAUUCAUAUAUGGUUGCUUCAUGGACUGACCAUUUGCUGUGUUGACCAUCCCUCUGAAGAAGUCCACGAAGGAUGAAACGCGUCAGGGUUGAAGACAGAGAGAAAAGAAACCCUACACUAUUGUACAUUUGACAUAUAUUGUGAUCUGUAAUUGUGAAAAAGGGUUACCUCUGUCUAGAUUGGGCAAUACUUUGCUUUUAAUAAAUUGUGUAAAGCCAUAAUCAUUUGGUAAAUUUUUAGUUGGUAACCAGUUUAAGUGAUUGAGAGCGCCCUCUGAUUCAAUUUGCUGGAGGUGUUGUUUUGUAUGGUCCUCACUAACAGGAGGAUCGAAUUAGAGGGCUGCCGCACCAGCGCAGU